GGGAUGCAUAAUGCAUGAGUUUCACAGCUCCCCGCGCUCAACUGGGAUUGCAAAGCUGCGUAUGGGUAUCCGGUUUACCACAAAAUAUCCAUUAGCAAUGAACACAAGGCAAGGUACUUUGGCAGGUCUGACUUGCUCUCCGUCAGUUUCAAAAGGAAUGAGCUUCAGCCCAGGGCCCAUCUUGCUGCAGCCGGCUCGUUCCUCAGGAGCUGUAAUCCCUUCCUUUGACUCUCCCCCAGCUGGACUGCCCCAGGAUGACUCACUGUCUUCACUGCCCAAAGAAACAAAAUAUUUUGUUAUGCUGUUUCAGGGUCAAAACCUACAGAAGGAUGUAUUGGCGCUCACCAGUUACCACAUUGCAGAAAUCCCCGUGUCCCUUUGGGAAGUCGGGGUGGGGACGAGCAAAGUGGUCCUCAGGGAAAUCCCUGCAGAACAUCGUGCUGCUGCAGGCAGCUCAGGAAAUUGAGGAAAUAUUCAGAUACGUUGGAAGUGGUCCUGCUGUGCCAGAAUGAGAAAUUGCCCACGUGGUUCUGUGACAUUGUUCUUCAGCUGCAGUUCUUGGGAGAUCGCCGCAAUUGUUAACAUCCAAACAAAAACAGUCUAAUGAAAGUGUUUUAAUCUGCUGAUCAGCUAUUCAGAGCGAAAGGCAUAGCCGUGCUAGGUGUCUUUGGAGUGUGGAAAUUAAUGCGGCAAUGAGCAGGCAUCAACAAGGAUGAAACCUCCUCUAUGAACUGUGAAGCUGACGGGAAGCUGAUGGGACAUCUGCUCUUCCUCCUUGGCACCACAGGGAUUUGACCAGAUAACCUAAGUCUUGUUGCUGGGGAGCAGCAGGAGCAGACUGUCAUCAACAAGCGUUUAUUAGAGUUUGAAGAUUGAAGGAGAUUUGUCUCAGGUGUCACAGUAAACACGGGAAGAAGGACGAGGAGAAGUGGAUGUGGUUGCCUACAGAUCUUUAAAGAGAGGAUGUGAUCCAGCCGUGGGACAGUUUUCAGCUGUAACAAAUGGCAAUUAAUGGUUAUAUUGGGUAAGACAAAUUAGCCUAGCCAAUAUGCUCAUAAUAAAACUAAGGGAAAAGUGUUCACAGAAUAAGACAAGGUUCAUUAUAUUAGAUGUAUUUAGGUUCUACAAUGUGUUUAGAAAGACAAAAUAUGUUUCUCUGUGUUUUUUUCUGCCUAAACAUUUUAUCAAAAGUAUACAAACUCUCCCAGAUUCCUACAUGGCUGUGAAUAAAUUGGUGGUGGAAAGAGUCUCUGGGUAAAGCUGCAGCUUGCCCCAGCACACGCGGAGGGUUGGAACUGGCUGAAGCUGUUGAAAACUACAGCAUGGAGUAAAAAUUUUCUCUGAAAAGAACAAACCAGCUAACAGUUCUAUUACUGAUGCACUACGGCUGUGAAAUAGUGCUAUAUCAAUCUCAAGUAAAUUCACAUUAUUGUGUGUCAGAGUUUGUAGGUGAUGCUAGAGGAACCAAAAAUAAUUAGUCUUUGCUGCGAUUUCAUACACAUGUCAAAGUAUAGCACAUUGUACAGAACUUUUAAUUAAGAAAGCUAACUUUUGCUAAGCACUUCUUUUUUGUCUCAUUUCUUUGUCAUGUUAUUCCUUUUUGUAUUGCCAAAAAAACGCUGGACUGUUGCAUCAAAUGGCCAGACAAUAUCACUUUACCCAGAGGCACAUGCCACAUGAAGGAAGAUAUUUUUCUUUUACUGAAAUGAAUCUUUAAGAAAUAUAUUCUGAGGCAAGUGAAAAGAAAGGACACAAAAUGCAAGAAAUUGUCCAUACUGAGAAUGUAGAUUUUAUUCACGUUUCGUCUAUGUAAUACCUGAAGUCCUUGUACUGCUGCUGUUUGUAGUAAAUUAUCUAUCACCUCUUUUCUGACUCUUUUUACUACUAUCUCCUCAGUUAUCUGUUCUUUUUCCCCUACUCAUCAUUUUCCUUCCUCUUCAUAAAAUGUUAUAAAAGAGAAAAUUACUAAGUUUGAGGAACAGAUGAGAGGAAAAUUAUGUGCUUCCUAUCUGUACGAUCAGGCAUUGCUUGUGAUUGUAUCUAUUGUGGAUGAGGCAAAUAACCGCGGGGCCUGAGUAAUAGCUUCAACUGGGUGAAUUAUAUUUGAGGAAUGGAAGUAUCAGAAUCGCAGAAUAUCCUGAGUUGGAAGGGACCCACAAGGAUCAUCGAGUCCAACUCCUGGCUCCACACAGGACUACAUGAAAAUAAAAUGGUAUGUCUGAGAAUGAAUACUGUGCCAGUCAUUCUGAAAUUAUUCACGUAUUGUGCUCGAUUAAUGCUCUUGAAUAUUCUGGAUAUGACAGAAGAAUUCCAGGGGAAGAUCCCAUAAAAAAUUCAGGGAGCUGUUUGUGUUUCUUGGCUCUUGGAAAAAAGGAAGUUAACUAGAAUACUUCGGUGGAAUAUGAAGAAGCCAGGUUUGGCUCACUUUCUUUAGACCAGGAAAUCAAAUUGUUCCUGUUCCACCGGUCAGUGUCUGAAACACCUGGCUGUUGGUUACCCUGGUGAGGUGAGGGCUGGCUGGGGUCUCUCCUGGUGGUUCCCAUCCUCCUCUCACAACUGAAUUCCACUCAUGCAGGAGCUGGUGCCCUAACAGAUGUCACAGUGGUACACCUGGUCAGGCAUACCAACAGCAAAUACACGUUUUGCCUUCUGUGGUCAAGAAUUUGCACCUGUUUCACUAAAAGGGAAAAGAAUAGCAGUGUUUACACAUACCUUGUUAUCAACCAGGAAAUUGAGAAGAAAUGUCCAGAAGUAAAAUGCUUUUGUAGCCAUUGGUGGUUAUUGCACUGAUUAACUCCCAAAGACCAAGAGCAUCCAACCCUCUGGUUUAGUUUUCAUGAUUCUUUGCAAGACCACAGAGUGGUCUAAGAUGUGAACAGAAAUGUGUAAUUAUUUUCUUUUUAGAGAAACACUAAAUGUUGUACAAGAGUU